rnacentral:ncRNA from 14 species
AUCGUAGCAUUGUGGUCCGGCCUCAUGCUGUUAUUUAAACACCUAAGAGUUAAAAGGGAAUCCGGUGUAAAUCCGGAGCUGACGCGCAGCGGUAAGGGGAAGUCACGGCGAUAGGUUUCUAACAGACACUGUCCGCAAGGAUGGGAAGUCAUCGCCUGCUCUAUUUCGCGCCAUUUAUUUAUCACAGUAUUUUUACUGUCAUAACCAUGGCCUGAUACCAGAGAUCCUAAGCCCGAAGACCUGCCGGUAUUACGUCGCAAUAU